rnacentral:misc_RNA from 1 species
GAUGAAGAACGUAGCGAAAUGCUAUAAGUAGUGUGAAUUGCAGAAUUCAGUGAAUCAUCGAAUCUUUGAACGCACAUUGCGCCCCUUGGUAUCCCGAGGGGCAUGCCUGUUCGAGCGUCAUUUCACCACUCAAGCCUGGCUUGGUGUUGGGCGACGUCCUCUUUGGGGACGCGCCUCGAAACGCUCGGCGGCGUGGCACCGGCUUUAAGCGUAGCAGAAUCUUUCGCUUUGGAAGUCGGGGCCCCGUCUGCCGGAAGACCUGCUCGCAAGGUUGACCUCGGAUCAGGCAGGGAUACCCGCUGAACUUAAGCAUAUCAAUAAGCGGAGGA